AUUGAACGCUGGCGGCAGGCCUAACACAUGCAAGUCGAGCGGAGCGGCGGACGGGUGAGUAAUGCCUAGGAAUCUGCCUGGUAGUGGGGGAUAACGUCCGGAAACGGACGCUAAUACCGAAUACGAUCAGAUGAGCAUAGGUCGGAUGAGCUAGUUGGUGGGGUAAAGGCAUACCAAGGCGACGAUCCGUAACUGGUCUGAGAGGAUGAUCAGUCACACUGGAACUGAGACAUGGUCCAGACGCCUACGUGAGGCAGCAGUGGGGAAUAUUGGACAAUGGGCGAAAGCUUGAUCCAGCCAUGCCGCGUGUGUGAAGAAGGUCUUCGGAUUGUAAAGCACUUUAAGUUUGGAGGCGUUACCAACAGAAUAAGCACCGGCUAACUUCGUGCCAGCCGCCGCGGUAAUUC
rnacentral:rRNA from 1 species